CGAGAGCUUGCUCUUGUGGAUCAGUGGCGAACGGGUGAGUAACACGUGAGUAACCUGCCCCAGACUCUGGGAUAAGCCUUGGAAACGAGGUCUAAUACCGGAUAAGCGGCUCCACCGCAUGGUGAGGGUCGGGAAAGUUUUUCGGUCUGGGAUGGACUCGCGGCCUAUCAGCUUGUUGGUGAGGUAAUGGCCCACCAAGGCGACGACGGGUAGCCGGCCUGAGAGGGCGACCGGCCACACUGGAACUGAGACACGGUCCAGACUCCUACGGGAGGCAGCAGUGGGGAAUAUUGCACAAUGGGCGAAAGCCUGAUGCAGCGACGCCGCGUGGGGGAUGAAGGCCUUCGGGUUGUAAACCCCUUUCAGCAGGGAAGAAGCGAAAGUGACGGUACCUGCAGAAGAAGCGCCGGCUAACUACGUGCCAGCAGCCGCGGUAAUACGUAGGGCGCAAGCGUUGUCCGGAAUUAUUGGGCGUAAAGAGCUCGUAGGCGGUUCGUCGCGUCUGCUGUGAAAGCACGAGGCUCAACCUCGUGUCUGCAGUGGGUACGGGCGAACUAGAGUGUGGUAGGGGAGACUGGAAUUCCUGGUGUAGCGGUGGAAUGCGCAGAUAUCAGGAGGAACACCGAUGGCGAAGGCAGGUCUCUGGGCCACAACUGACGCUGAGGAGCGAAAGCGUGGGGAGCGAACAGGAUUAGAUACCCUGGUAGUCCACGCCGUAAACGGUGGGCACUAGAUGUGGGGCUCUUUCCAUGAGUUCCGCGUCGCAGCUA
rnacentral:rRNA from 1 species